UACGAAGGGGGCUAGCGUUGUUCGGAAUCACUGGGCGUAAAGGGCGCGUAGGCGGCUUUAUAAGUCGGGGGUGAAAGCCUGUGGCUCAACCACAGAAUUGCCUUCGAUACUGUAGAGCUUGAGACCGGAAGAGGUUAGUGGAACUGCGAGUGUAGAGGUGAAAUUCGUAGAUAUUCGCAAGAACACCAGUGGCGAAGGCGGCUCACUGGCCCGAUACUGACGCUGAGGCACGAAAAGCGUG
rnacentral:rRNA from 1 species